GGACUACACGGGUAUCUAAUCCUGUUUGCUCCCCACGCUCUCGCGCCUCAGCGUCAGUAUUUGUCCAGGCAGCCGCCUUCGCCACCGGUGUUCCUUCCGAUCUCUACGCAUUUCACCGCUACACCGGAAAUUCCACUGCCCUCUACAAUACUCUAGCUCGUCAGUCACCGUUGCAGUUCCUAGGUUAAGCCCAGGGAUUUCACAACAAUCUUAACUAACCGCCUACGCGCCCUUUACGCCCAGUAAUUCCGAUUAACGCUCGCACCCUCUGUAUUACCGCGGCUGCUGGCAC
rnacentral:rRNA from 1 species